rnacentral:rRNA from 1 species
AGAGUUUGAUCCUGGCUCAGAAUCAACGCUGGCGGCGUGCCUAACACAUGCAAGUCGAACGAGAAAGUGGAGCAAUCCAUGAGUAAAGUGGCGCACGGGUGAGUAACACGUGACUAACCUACCCUUGAGUGGGGGAUAACCUAGGGAAACCUGGGCUAAUACCGCAUAAUACCUUCGGGUCAAAGGAGCAAUUCGCUUAAGGAGGGGGUCGCGGCCGAUUAGUUAGUUGGCGGGGUAAUGGCCCACCAAGACUGUGAUCGGUAUCCGGCCUGAGAGGGCGCACGGACACACUGGAACUGAAACACGGUCCAGACUCCUACGGGAGGCAGCAGUGGGGAAUUUUGCGCAAUGGGGGAAACCCUGACGCAGCAACGCCGCGUGGAGGAUGAAGCCCCUUGGGGCGUAAACUCCU